AUUGAACGCUGGCGGCAUGCUUUACACAUGCAAGUCGAACGGUAACAGGCCUUCGGGUGCUGACGAGCGGCGAACGGGUGAGUAAUGCAUCGGAACGUACCCAGAGGUGGGGGAUAACGCAGCGAAAGCUGUGCUAAUACCGCAUGUGAUCUGAGGAUGAAAGCGGGGGACCGAGCAGCAAUGUUUGGCCUCGCGCCUUUGGAGCGGCCGAUGUCGGAUUAGCUAGUUGGUGGGGUAAAGGCCUACCAAGGCGACGAUCCGUAGCUGGUCUGAGAGGACGACCAGCCACACUGGGACUGAGACACGGCCCAGACUCCUACGGGAGGCAGCAAUGGGGAAUUUUGGACAAAGGGCGCAAGCCUGAUCCAGCAAUGCCGCGUGCGGGAAGAAGGCCUUCGGGUUGUAAACCGCUUUUGGCAGGAACGAAACGGUGUCCGCUAAUACCGGGCGCUAAUGACGGUACCUGCAGAAUAAGCACCGGCUAACUACGUG
rnacentral:rRNA from 1 species